AUGUGUGUGCCAAAGAGCAACGGAGGUAUGGGGUUUAGAGAUGUCCACUGCUUCAACCUAGCCCUCCUAGCUAAACAGUGCUGGAGACUGGUAGCAAAACCAAAUUCUUUAUGUGCCAGAGUAUUGAGGGCGAAAUAUUUCCCGGACGGUGAUUUACUCAAUUGUUCCCUCAAGAAAGGUAGUUCUUAUACAUGGCAGAGCUUGUGGAGUGGCGUUCAGACUUUCAAAAAAGGUUAUAUAUGGAGAGUGGGAGAUGGCACACAAAUAAGCAUUUGGAGUGAUCCAUGGGUACCUAGCAGCCCAAACAGGAAGGUAAUGACUCCACGAGGUAAUAUCAUACUCACGAAAGUUUUUGAACUUAUGGACGUGGAUAAUGGGUGUUGGGAUGAGCAACUUAUCAGACAUAUAUUCUGGCCCAUUGAUGAAAAUCGUAUUUUGAACAUACCCCUGGCCAUGGGGAUGAUGGAGGAUUUUGUUUCAUGGCACUACAACAAAACUAGAAUUUUCUCGGUCAAGACG
rnacentral:rRNA from 1 species